GGGGUUGUGGCUCUAUGGCAGAGUGCUUGCCUCACAUGUAUGAGGCACUGAGUUCAAUCCUCAGCACCA
rnacentral:tRNA from 1 species